AUCCGCGUCCCAUUAGCCAGUUGGUGGGGUAACGGACCACCAAGGCGACGAUUGGUAGCCGAACUGAGAGGUUGAUCGGCCACAUUGGGACUGAGAUACGGCCCAGACUCCUACGGGAGGCAGCAGUGGGGAAUAUUGCGCAAUGGGGGAAACCCUGACGCAGCAACGCCGCGUGAAGGAUGAAGGUUUUCGGAUCGUAAACUUCUUUGAUGGGGGACGAAUAAUGACGGUAGGAAAUGAUCUUGAACUGACGGUACCUGUUGAAUAAGCCCCGGCUAACUACGUGCCAGCAGCCGCGGUAAUACGUAGGUGGCGAGCGUUGUCCGGAAUUAUUGGGCGUAAAGGGAGCGUAGGCGGUUUGAUAAGUCUGAGGUGAAAGUUCGGGGCUCAACUCCGGAUUGCGCCUGAAACUUUCCGACUGGAGUUUGGGAGGGGCAACUGGAAUUCCUGGUGUAACGGUGAAAUGUGUAGAUAUCAGGAGGAACACCCGUGGCGAAGGCGGGUUGCUGGACCAAAACUGACGCUGAGACGCGAAAGCGUGGGUAGCAAACAGGAUUAGAUACCCUGGUAGUCCACGCUGUAAACGAUGAGUGCUAGGUGUAGGGGGUAUCGACCCCUUCCGUUAACGCAUUAAGCACUCCGCCUGGGGAGUACGGCCGCAAGGUUGAAACUCAAAGGAAUUGACGGGGGCCCGCACAAGCGGUGGAGUAUGUGGUUUAAUUCGACGCAACGCGAAGAACCUUACCAGGCCUUGACAUACUCGGCAAAGCUCUAGAGAUAGAGUGGAGGUUAUCCGGGAUACAGGUGGUGCAUGGUUGUCGUCAGCUCGUGUCGUGAGAUGUUGGGUUAAGUCCCGCAACGAGCGCAACCCUUGUCUUUAGUUACCAUCAUUCAGUUGGGGACUCUAGAGAGACUGCCGGUGAUAAACCGGAGGAAGGUGGGGAUGACGUCAAAUCAUCAUGCCCCUUAUGGCCUGGGCUACAAACGUAAUACAAUGGCCGGAUACAAAGGGAUGCGAAAGGGCGACCUGGAGCAAAACUCACAAAGUACGUCUCAGUUCAGAUUGGAGUCUGCAACUCGACUCCAUGAAGGCGGAAUCGCUAGUAAUCGCGGAUCAGCAUGCCGCGGUGAAUACGUUCUCGGGGUUUGUACACACCGCCCGUCAAACCAUGAGAGUUGGUAAUACCCGAAGCCGGUGGCCUAACCGAGAG
rnacentral:rRNA from 1 species